rnacentral:lncRNA from 1 species
UUCCCUUGGUUCUCAGCCUUUGUCCUUCAUCUCCCAGAGAGAGGCCAUGGGACAAGAAUAAAUUUGUGAACCAGGCUGAAAACUAGGCCCCAGCGACGAGGCCUCGCCCGAGCGUCGGACAGGCUCACGCAGCCCCCGAGCACCCGGCGCUACCGGUCGGCCUCUUGGCCCCGCCCCUCGCCGCGCUGCCGACCAAUCCUGGGCUCCGCUCCCCGCGCGUCACAGAGGCGCCGCUGGGGGGCUUCCCGCAGGCGGGCGCUCGGCGCGGUGUUGCCAUGGGGACUGCAAACAGCCGGGGCCGGGCGGAGAGAGGAGGACUUUCCCUAGAGGAAGCGGCCUCACCUCGGGAGACGCGCACAGGUACCCAAGGAGCAGCCAUCCCUUUCUUCUUCGUCAAAGUAAUGACAUUCUUCGGGCGUCUUGAGCGAAGUGUGCAGAGCCAAGUCUCCCCUUGA